UACGUAGGGUGCGAGCGUUGUCCGGAAUUAUUGGGCGUAAAGAGCUCGUAGGCGGUUUGUCACGUCUGCUGUGAAAUCCCGAGGCUCAACCUCGGGCCUGCAGUGGGUACGGGGCAGACUGGAGUGCGGUAGGGGGAGAAUGGAAUUCCUGGUGUAGCGGUGGAAUGCGCAGAUAUCAGGAGGAACACCGAUGGCGAAGGCAGUUCUCUGGGCCGUAACUGACGCUGAGGAGCGAAAGCGUGGGGGAGCGAACAGG
rnacentral:rRNA from 1 species